rnacentral:tRNA from 1 species
GCGGCGCUGGCAGACGGAAUAAGGCAGCGUUCCGUCGGGGGCACUGCGGGUUCAAGGCCCGCGCGCCGCACCA